UAGUGGAUCGUCUGCAGUAGGAAUUCAUGGUUCAUCAGAUGUGGCCUAGUUGUUAGGGAUUCGAGACGUGUUCACUGGGGGGAUAGUAAAUGUUCAGUGCGUUUGGUAGAAUGAAACAACACAUGACCAAUUACGUUAGAUCAAUUUUUCCCACAAGUGGAGAUUUAUUCCACAAUAUUCAGCUUUCCAGGCAGACACCCAUCCACAGAGCCAUGGGUGAUAUAUGAUAUUCACAGUGGGCAUGACUGUGCUGUAAAUUAGUAUCACUUUUACAAACCCAAACAGGUUUAGAUCACAUGUCUAACUGUGAAAGAGAUCAUGUGUCUGUCAACGAAGAAGGCUCUCUCUGUUUGCGCCAUCAGACCUCCCCAGUGUGUCAUUCUGAUGCAGAGCUCUUGAAAUGAAGUUGAAAGGUUUGAACCAUCUCAGGCCAAAGCUCAAGCUCUAGCUUUAGGUAUUAGAAAAGUGGUCGCCUUUUGGUUAGAGUUUCUUCGCCGUCCGGUGCAUCAAUCGGAAUGAUGUUCACUUCCUCGACGUCACUGCUCACGUAAUUUAAUAACUUUGUUCUUCGAAAAAAGUUGUACUACUAAUCUUAAAUUUUUCAAAGAAAACUUUGGUGCGUUAUUCUUAUGCCGAGGUUGUAUCGACCUUUAAAGGCAAAUCGGAAGAGGGUAUUCUUUUCCUUGACAUAAAGAACGGAAAUUUUAUGCAUUAGCAAGUCAUCCGCAUCCAAACAUAUUAAACGCACGAGGUAUUCCGCCUCGUUCGGCAACUUACCAUCCAGCAACGCAUCCAUCAACAUAAUGUAUUAUAGAGGAAAGUAAUGACCAAAUGCCGACUGGACGAUUUCCAUGCAAGAUGAAUGUUAAAAUCCAAGGAGAUCUGGUGAGGAGGAUGCAACGGACUAUGUCAUGUCAAACCAUUAGCUGAAUACAAUGAAUACUUUCAGUUCUCCAGAACGAGAGGCCAACAUAGGUAAAUAAUUGUACUGAAUCAAAAGAGGUACAUACUUGAACGAGUUUUUAAAACGAUAACAACUGGAAGUGCAUGUGGAAAUUUCAAUGGACGCUACCUGCACGUUACCUGAACGUUACUUUUAGUCGCUGAUUCAUCUCGAAGAUAAAAUAUUAAAAUUUUUAUAAAUUCAA